GUCGAGGAUCUUCGGCAAUGGGCGAAAGCCUGACCGAGCGACACCGCGUACAGGAUGAAGGCCUUCGGGUUGUAAACUGUUGUCACGCUAUAGGAACUCCUUGGUGUUAACAGCGCCAAGGUUGACUAAAGCGAGAGGAAGCAACGGCUAACUCUGUGCCAGCAGCCGCGGUAAGACAGAGGUUGCAAACGUUGUUCGGAAUCACUGGGCAUAAAGCGCACGUAGGCGGCCCGUUAAGUCAGUUGUGAAAGCCCCCGGCUCAACCGGGGAACAGCAUCUGAUACUGGCGGGCUCGAGGAUGGUAGGGGUGAGUGGAACUCCAGGUGGAGCGGUGAAAUGCGUAGAUAUCUGGAGGAACACCGGUGGCGAAAGCGGCUCACUGGACCAUCCCUGACGCUGAGGUGCGAAAGCUAGGGUAGCAAACGGGAUUAGAUACCCCUGUAGUCC
rnacentral:rRNA from 1 species